GAUACAACAUUCAAGGACAACACCUUACCAUCCCCAGUCUAACCCAGCUGAACAUUUUAACAGAACCUUACUAAGCAUGCUCAGAACACUGGAAGAGACACAAAAACCUAACUGGAAAGACUAUUUGAACAAAGUAGUUCAUGCAUACAACUCAACAGUGCAUGAAUCAACUGGCUUUUCCCCUUUUUUUCUGUUAUUUGGAAAAGAGCCAAUCCUACCUGUUGACCUAUUGUUUCCAAAAGAGCAAAAGCAGUCACAGUCUCAUCAAGACUAUGCAGACAAAUGGCAAAGGUCAAUGCAGGAAGCUUACAGCAUUGCACAAGAAAACAUCAGAAAAGCAAGUAAAAGAGGACAAAAGUAUUACAACAGAAAAGCCUGGAGUUCAGAACUUAAACCUGGGGACCAUGUUCUUGUCCAAAACCUAUCUGAAAGAGGAGGACCUGGAAAAAUACGUGCUUACUGGGAAAACAAAACGCAUGUUAUAAAAGAAAGAAGAGGGCAAGACAGUCCAGUUUAUGUGGUGACACCAUUAGAUGGUGAAGGGAGGGAAAUAAUCCUUCAUAGGAAUGUUUUACUACCCUGUCCUUAUCUUAUUGAUGGACAAGAGACUAAAGAACCAAAAGAAAAAAACAACCAAAAGAGACAAGCAAACAGACAAACACGCCAAACCAAAGACCAAGUUCAUGCGAACUCUGACAGCUGUAGUGAGGACGAGUAUUCUGUGUGGAUUGCCCGUCAAAGCCAGACUACCAGCCUCAAUCCACAUGCCCCAGUCUGAGGAGCCCUGAAAAUAUGUUUAGAACGUGAUAUUGUUUAAUUAAUAGGUACAGUUAUCUUAUUGGGCAAGCAUUUAUUUGAUUUAGUAUUUAGUUAGAACAAUUCAAUUGGUUUAUGGCUAAAUAUGUGCUCAAACUAUAUUAUUUUUAUUUCAUAGAUUUCUGUCAUGAUAAUAUCCCUUUAAGAAUGACACAAUGCAUGAUGGGAGUUUAAAGUUUAUGACCUGUGAUUAUUACGAAACAAGAGAGAAAACUACCCACGCUGUUUGUUCGAACCGUGGAUUUUGCUUAAUAAAGUUGCACAAAAGCUAAAAUAUAUAUGAGUUUUUAAGGGUGCAACAUUAAGACACUCAGAAACUACUAACCAUGCAUGGAGGGUUCCACCCCAAAUCUAUCACCCUAACUAAACACGAGCCGCAAGGAAGGUAAAUAAGGCAGGUGAUUCCUUGAGUUUUGGUUUUCUAAUUUGAGGGAACCAAACCUUUAGAGAAUCCUAAAAUCCUUUAUCGGAAAUAAAGGCCCCUCUUAGAGGAUUAAGAGGCAGAGCGACCACAAAGCUGAUUUGUUGGACUCUGUGAAGACGUUUGCAGUCUACAGAGGAUAUGCCACCCAAUUCAAGAAGAAUGGGUCUAAGUGGUUCCAACACGCAAUCUCCUCCUCCGGGUUUAAUUGUUUGGAAUAAAAUGCUGAACAUAAAUCUUUUGUUGAUAAAUUACAGGCCUUAAUAUGUUUAAUUUUUCUUUUGUGUGUUUGAAUAAAAAAAUAAAUAAAUGCAUUUCUUAAAAGGAUCAGUCAAUUAAUACAUUUUAUUUAUAAGGGACCCUUUCAUACUAAAAGUAGCUCUAAGAGUCAUACCAACACUUAGCCCUCAGGUUUCUCUGACAAACUGUUCCACAAACAGGAGCCAUAAUACUGGAUGGGUAAUAAAUGACUAAAACUAUACGAUCACAUAAAAGGUUAAAAUAAGAUUCAUAAAUAUAAAUGUAUAUGUAUAGAAAACAAGGAAAAUGACAAAACAAAACCUAAUCGAUUUCUAUUUGCUUUUUCUUUUUCCCUCUGUCUGAGCCUCGCACGGUGCAUCUGACCUCUGACCUCAAGUCCUCUAACCUGUCCUCCCAUGGACCAGAUGAUGUCCCUCCUACAAAACCAGCCAAUGAAAAUGAUCGAGAAGAUCAAGAAGACAAAAAAGACCUCCAUCACCUCCAGGGGACAACUUAUCAGCGUAGAGGAAGAAAAGCUAAACAUGCUUCGGAGCUGUGAGAGAAGAAGACUCUGAACUGUUGUCCACAGUUGUCAUCUGUGGACAACAUGGACAUUUCCUGAGGGACGAUCUGGACAACCCAAAGAUCCAACGCCAGAACCAGUUGGACCCCCAGGAAGCCGGAGGAGAGAGACGGGGGAGGAUUUGGCUGCAGCAAUGCCGAGACCGAGUGGGGGAGAGGGGCGUAAAGGAAGGAACAACCUGAAUCCACAUCAACCACUGUGAAGGACGACCUGUCUCUAAUGUCCAUCUAAAUCAUGACUGUAAAUCUGAAACAGCAACAGAGUGAGCAGCAAAACUUCACUCUACCAAGAAUCAAGUACUUCAGCUUUUGACACCAAAGAGGUCAAUGUCCAGAGGAACAGCAAGUUUAAAUGUUUCUGAAAGACUCUCCACUCAAAGAACUAUUGCUGGUCCACUGGCGAGUGACGGAAACGGAGAGUGAAGAUUUACACUGUUCUGUUAUCCUUAAAUAUGCAUUUAAAAGAGAAAAUCAACGUCAGAAAUUACUUGGUUUUUCAUAUGUUUAAUUUUGACCAAAGAGGAUGAAAUCAGAUGUUGCCUGGUUGUUUAUAACUUUGGUUUAUUUAGAAUCAAAGAGGAUGAAGAUCACUUUGAAAUUGUUUUGUUUUAUUUUGAAGUGGGCGCAUUAGAAUCAGAUGGGGCAACAUAAAAAUUUUACUUGUUGAUUAUAA